UGGGGAAUAUUGCACAAUGGGCGAAAGCCUGAUGCAGCGACGCCGCGUGAGGGAUGACGGCCUUCGGGUUGUAAACCUCUUUCAGCAGGGACGAAGCGCAAGUGACGGUACCUGCAGAAGAAGCACCGGCUAACUACGUGCCAGCAGCCGCGGUAAUACGUAGGGUGCAAGCGUUGUCCGGAAUUACUGGGCGUAAAGAGUUCGUAGGCGGUUUGUCGCGUCGUUUGUGAAAACCAGCAGCUCAACUGCUGGCUUGCAGGCGAUACGGGCAGACUUGAGUACUGCAGGGGAGACUGGAGUUCCUGGUGUAGCGGUGAGAUGCGCAGAUAUCAGGAGGAACACCGGUGGCGAAGGCGGGUCUCUGGGCAGUAACUGACGCUGAGGAACGAAAGCGUGGGUAGCGAACAGG
rnacentral:rRNA from 1 species